GUGCUCACUUCCAAAGCACAUGUUCUAGAAUUAGAACAAUACAGAAAAGAUCAGCAUGGCCGUAUGCAAAAAUGACUCACAAAUUCCUGAAGAAUUUCAUAUUCUA
ensembl:snRNA U6 U6 spliceosomal RNA